GAGGGUUGCUCUGACCCAGCCCGAUGACACCAACCGAAGGCAAUGACCCUGCUGUGAGGCAGAUGCGAGCCGGCUCCCCCACGGCUCCCCUAUGGGGAACCCUCGCCCUUCAGGGCGGGGAGGAGGUCAGCCUUUAUACUCAC
rnacentral:sRNA from 1 species